GGAAGGAUCAUUAAAGUAUUCUUCGGUGCAGCCAGCGCUUCCACAGCGCGGCAGCCCAAACCUUACACACUGUGAUUAGUUUUUUUACUAUUUACUUUGGCUGCGCAAGUGGCCAAAGGUCUUAAACACAAAGAUUUAUAUCUUUUUUUACAAAAUUUAGUCAAUGAAGUUUUAAUACUAUAAUCUUCAAAACUUUCAACAACGGAUCUCUUGGUUCUCGCAACGAUGAAGAACGCAGCGAAAUGCGAUACGUAAUGUGAAUUGCAGGUUUUCGUGAAUCAUCGAAUCUUUGAACGCACAUUGCACCCUCUGGUAUUCCGGAGGGUAUGCCUGUUUGAGCGUCAUUUCUCUCUCAAACCUUAGGGUUUGGUAUUGAGUGAUACUCUCUUCUGGGUUAACUUGAAAUAGUGUACUGGCAAGAGUGUGCUUUUGUGGCCUCUUGACUGAGAUAAUGUAUUAGGUUCUACCAACUCGUUAUAGCAGCUCAACUGUCCCUUUGGCAUAUCAGCUCGGCCUGACAACUCCUUCUAAAGUUUGACCUCAAAUCAGGUAGGACUACCCGCUGAACUUAAGCAUAUCAAUAAGCGGAGGAAAAGAAACCAACAGGGAUUGCCUCAGUAACGGCGAGUGAAGCGGCAAAAGCUCAAAUUUGAAAUCUGGUACCUUUGGUGCCCGAGUUGUAAUUUGAAGAUAGUUUUCUGGUGCUGGCCCUUGUCUAUGUUCCUUGGAACAGGACGUCACAGAGGGUGAGAAUCCCGUCUGGCGGGGUGUCCAGUGCUUUGUAGAUUUCUAUCGACGAGUCGAGUUGUUUGGGAAUGCAGCUCUAAGUGGGUGGUAAAUUCCAUCUAAAGCUAAAUAUUGGCGAGAGACCGAUAGCGAACAAGUACAGUGAUGGAAAGAUGAAAAGAACUUUGAAAAGAGAGUGAAAAAGUACGUGAAAUUGUUGAAAGGGAAGGGUAUUAGAUCAGACUUGGUGUUUUGUGAUUAUCUUCCCUUCUUGGGUUGUGCACUCGCAUUUCACUGGGCCAGCAUCGGUUCGGGUGGUAAGAUAAUGACAUUGGAACGUGGCACUGCCUUCGGGUGGUGUGUUAUAGCCCUUGUUGAUGUUGCCUAUCUGGACCGAGGACUGCGGCUUUUGCCUAGGAUGCUGGCGUAAUGAUCUAACACCGCCCGUCUUGAAACAUGGACCAAGGAGUCUAACGUCUAUGCGAGUGUUUGGGUGUAAAACCCGUACGCGUAAUGAAAGUGAACGUAGGUGAGGGCCCGCAAGGGUGCAUCAUCGACCGAUCCUGAUGUCUUCGGAUGGAUUUGAGUAAGAGCAUAGCUGUUGGGACCCGAAAGAUGGUGAACUAUGCCUGAAUAGGGUGAAGCCAGAGGAAACUCUGGUGGAGGCUCGUAGCGGUUCUGACGUGCAAAUCGAUCGUCGAAUUUGGGUAUAGGGGCGAAAGACUAAUCGAACCAUCUAGUAGCUGGUUCCUGC
rnacentral:misc_RNA from 1 species